AAUUCUAAGAGAAAUAUGUCGCUUGGAGAAAGCCCUUUAAUUUAAAAAAAACAGUAUAUAUUUUGCUAAUAGUUACAGUAAAAACAGAUAAAACCAAGAGAACAUGGCCAUCAUUGUUCAAGGCCUCAUACUCUCUGAUGCAAAAAGGGUACAUGUGCAGGAUGUGCAGGUUUGUUACAUAGGUGAACGUGUGCCAUGGUGGUUUGCUGCACCUAUCAACCCAUCACCUAGUGAAAAUGGUGAUAAAGUGAAGGACAUGCUCCAGGGAAUCUGCUGAUGUCUCCAAAAUGUCAUCGGCAAAGCGGCGGAGAAAAAUGAGAAAAUCACCCAGGUUAUCUGCAAAAAAUUCUGAAAAAGAAAAUAUUCACUGGAAUUAGCCAAACAUCUGUAUAUCUGUACUAAUAAACAACAUUUAAAUUCCUUUCACCCUACUUAAUGAAGGUUAAAAAAAACCCUAAAUGUUUUGUUGGUACUAGAGAUGGUCGUUAAGUCAAUAAAUGUAAAAUCUCCUUUAAAUGU
rnacentral:lncRNA from 1 species